rnacentral:lncRNA from 1 species
GUCCCACCGAGGAAGUUGAGCUUUGCGGACAGGGACAGUGCGUAUCCGUCGGGGAUGAAGGUGUAAUCGCCCUCAUCCUCGGGGCGCACGUCGUCGAUCACCAGCUUGUGGAACCUGGGGGCACCCCAAAAGGGUCAGGGGGCGACACCCCCACCGGGACCCCACCAUGUCCCCACCAGGUCCCCAUGGGGCUGCCACCACCCCCAGGUCCCCAUGGGGUCCCACCACGUCCCUAUGGGGCUCCACCAGGUUCCUAUAGACCCCAUGGAGCUCCAUGAGGUCCCCAUGGGGUCCCACCAAGUCCCCAUGGGGUCCCACCAUGUCCCUAUGGGGCUGCCACCAGAUCCCUAUGGACCCCAUAGAGCUCCAAGGUCCCCAUGGGGUUCCACCACGUCCCCAUGGGGCUUCAUGAUGUCCCCAUGGGGCUGCCACCACCCCCACGAUGUCCCCAUGGGGCUCCCCGAAAUUCCUAUGGACCCCACGAAACUCCACCAGGUCCCCAUGGGGUCCCACCAAGUCCCUAUGGGGUCCCUCCAGGUCCCCAUGGGGCUUCAUGAUGUCCCCAUGGGGCUGUCACCUCCCCAAGGUCCCCAUGGGGCUCCCCGAAAUUCC